rnacentral:tRNA from 1 species
AGUUAAUGURGCAAAACCUGGUGUUGCAAAAGACCUAAACCCUUUUCAUAGAGGUUCAAAUCCUCUCAUUAACU